GUGCUUACUUUGGAAGCACAUAUACUAAAAUUGGACUGAUACAGAGAAGAUUAACAUGGUCCCUGCACAGGAUGACUUGCAAAUUUGUGAAGCGUUCCAUAUUUUU
rnacentral:snRNA from 1 species